rnacentral:rRNA from 1 species
GACGAACGCUGGCGGCGUGCUUAACACAUGCAAGUCGAACGGAAAGGCCCAGCUUUGGUGGGGUACUCGAGUGGCGAACGGGUGAGUAACACGUGGGUGACCUGCCCUGGACUUUGGGAUAAGUUCAGGAAACUGGGGCUAAUACCGGAUAGGAGCACGGGCUGGAUGGUGGGGGGGGGAGAUUUUCGGGUGUGGGGGAUGGACGCGGGGUAUAUCCGCGUUGGGGGGGGGUUGGGGCUUACCAAGGCCGUGGCGGGUAGCGCGCCUGAGAGGGUACCCGGCCACAUUGGGACUGAGACGCGGCACAGUCUCCUACGGGGCGGAGCAGUGGGGUAUUUUGCACUAUGGGCGGAACCCUGAUGGCGCCGCGCCGCGUGCGGGAUGACGGCCUUCGGUUUGUACUCCGCUUUCGCGUGUGACGGAGUGUGUGUGACGGUAAUGGGUAAAGAAGCACCGGCUAACUACGUG